GGGGAUAUAGCUCAGUUGGUAGAGUGCUUGCCUUGCACAAGGCCCUGGGUUCAAUUCCCAGCACUGCCU
rnacentral:tRNA from 1 species